AGUGAGCCAUGAUUGCACCACUGCACUCCAGACUGGGCAACAGAGUGAGACCCUAUCUGAAAAAAAAAGCAACACGUUACAAUGUUAUGAUGGGCCAGAUACAAUUUUGUAUUAGAAUCUAGUAUAGACAGUGUUUGUGACUACCAAAGAUUAAAGAAAGAAAAGCAAAAAGGCAGGAGAACACCCUAAGCACACAAAUAAUUCUACACCUAAUUCUCUCUGUAGAUUGGGAAAGGGCCAUUGCUACUUUAGGUGAUCAUGGUUUGGGUUCUUUGUUCUAUUAGGAGAAGUCAGUAUGGAAGCAAAUUGAACAUGGUGGGUUAGAAGUCCUUACAAAGUUUACCUUUCAGGUGACAGCUCUCUUCCUGUGCUUUUCUCCUCCAAAAUUUCCAGCUCUUCUCUAUUGCAGAUAGGUUGGAAACUUAACGACUUACCCGCACCUGCUACUCAGUGCUCACAUUCUGGCUCAUACACAAUACAGCUCCCCAUUUCACUCCACGACAUGCUCUGCCCUAGCCACUCAGAACUGUGUUCUGUCCCCAUUCCCACCUAGACAUGCUCAGCAUCUUUCUCCACACAUUUUCCCACAACAGUUCUUCCCUCACAGCCCCAUCUUUCUAAGAAACAAGUCCAACUCGAGUCCACAAAUCUUUCCCUGAUAUCCUUCCCCUUUCAACAGUAAGCAUGGAUGCUUUCUUUUCUAUCUUUCCCGUUCAUAUUGUAUAUACUUAGCAAAGUCUCUCUUGCCAUGGCGGUAGUAGAUGCCAUUUUCCAGCCAAUAUGUGCCAAGUACAAGGUUAUUAUCAUGCACAUAUUUGGAUGAGAAAACAGAGGCUCAGGGAGCUGCUGCUGGAGAUGACCCAGAUGGUAAAUAGCAAAGCUACAGUUCAAAUGCCAGGCUUUCUUUCAAAGACAGUGCUGCUUCCAUUAUACCCUAGAGCCUUCCUUCACUAUUUUUAUGGGGAUAUAGGCAGAGAUGGUUCUUUUUCCUGUCUUUGUGCCUUAUGCCUGGCAGCCACUCAAAAUACAUCUAUUGAAUUGAAUUGAAUUUAUAUUAGGGGGAGAAAAAGGUAAUAUCACUUUUCCUAGCUCCUACUGGCAAAUCCUAAAAUGAUUGAUACUAUUCAGUAUUGGAGAGCAGGUAGAAGAAAAAUAAUCUCUUUAAUUCAUUGUUAAUGGGAGUGUUAAUUAAAGCAGUACUUUAGAACUGUCUAUUAGAAAAAAAAUAUGUACAUGCCCUGGCAUGCAAUUCUGCUUUUAGAACUUUCUUCCAGAGAAAUAAUUAGAAUCAAGUGCAGGGAUAUGUAUAUGGUGUAUUUAUUGCAGUAUUAUUUACGGUAGUAAAACCUUAUGCAGUCUAAGAGUUCAUCAAUAGGAAAAUGAGUAAAUACAUCAGGGGAUGUAGUAUGAUGGAGUAUUAUGCAGACAUUAAAAAGGUUAAUGUAAAUGUGUACGUACAAAGACAGAAAGGUAUUCACAAUAUAUCAGUGACUAGAUAAAAGCAAGUUUUGACAUGGUAAAUAGAGCACUUUCCUAUUUUCCUCAAAAUGAAAAAAAUCCCUCACCCUUUUAAAAUCCUCUCCUCCACAUACAUUCAUACAAAUGCAAACUGUUCAAAUUGACAAGUGAAUUUUUUUUAUCAGUAUAGUGGCUACAAUCCAAAGACAAGAACAAAUGCUAAGCAACCUACAUUCUAAGGAGAGCCACUAGCAACUGGCUGUGGCCACCCUCCUCUAAGCCAAGUUAGACCAAGCCAGAAUGGAUUCUAUUACCAUUAUACGUAUGCCUCCUUUUUCCCUCCUCUGGGCCAAAAACAAGAGUUGCUAAAGAAGCUAUUAGCCUUGUGAGGUAUACAGGGGUUGAAGUGAGAGGUUAUCAUUCCUCUUCUCAAGGGGGAGGGGAGCACAAGGGAGGACAAAGCUUACAGAAAAUCCCAUCUUAAGGUUAGAAGUGUGUGCUGUAAGGAGGAAUCACAGUAAUUUUCCCUGGAUGGAUGUCAGCUAGGAGAAAGGAGAACAGGAGGAAGAUAAGUGGAGGGAGUCAUGCCCCCGAGGUAGCUGGAGAGGAGAUGAGAGUGGAGGCUGGAGACAGGGCCUCUGCCAUACUAGGGGAUGGGGAGGCAGAGAGGGACAUAUCAGAGAGAUGUGUGGUGACUGUCACUAGCUAGAAACCAGCUAGAAGGAGUGACCGGAUGCCUCGAGGGGCUUCCAAUGCCUGGCAACUAACCACUCAUUUCCCCACACUGAAGCCACCAACCAUCUUCAUGGGGCUGACAGACAGACAGCAAGAUUGGUAAGUUUGUCUAACCAAAGAGAGAAAUGCAGUAUCACCAGUAAAGUAAGGACCUUUAAACUUUUCCACCCCUCCCUCCUCAUCCCUCUAAAACUGUUUUGUGAGUAGAAAAGGGAGAUGGGAUAUAUCUUGAAGCCAGGGAGUAUUGUUAUCCUCAAGUAGCUAGGACCAUACUUCUAGCUGGUGCUAAAAAAACGAGAUGCAUUCAUCAGUUUACCAGACAGAGACUUUUAAUAACUGAAGGUGGUUGAAAAUUAUAAAAGUGGACCUAGAUAUCAUUAAAGAAGGUUCUACCUGAAGGGAAAGUAAGAGCAACAUGACUUAGGUAUAGAUGGUUACUGGAAUUAAUAAAACCUCUCAUGCCUAUACCUAAUGGAUUGAGCCUCAGUAAACUGUACACACACACACACACAUAUAAAAGUAUGUACACAGAAAAUAUUCUAUAGUCUAGGGCAGAGGUCAGCAAACUCUUUCUGUAAAGGGCUUUGUAAGCCAUACAGGCUCUGUUGUGACUACUUAACGCUGACAUUGCAGUGCCAAAGCAGCCAUGGAUAAUAUGCACACAAAUGAGCAUGGCUCAUUUAAUAAAGUUCCGACAAAACUUUAUUUAUAAAAACAGGCAGUUGUCUAGUCUUGAUCAGUGGCUGUGCUUUGCCAACUUCUGUUCUAGAAGAACUAGCAGGACAUCCAUCACGAUGUUCCCUCAAGGACUGGGAGGCGUGCUCCAACACAAAUUGCAACGAAGAAGUGGGUCAACGGGAACCUUUUGAAAAAGUUUUUGGAGGCUGAGAAUGGAAACGGAUGUCACCAUCAAGUGCAGGGGAACCAGCCGCCUGUGAUUCCACUGGUGUUGAGCUAAACUGAAGGGCAAAAGCAACAGCAGGAAUCUAGAGCAGAAGGUAAGGUUUUUAGAGAGUGCUGAGUACAGAGAGACACAGCCUGGAUAAAGAAACCACAGUCUCCCUGAAAGGACGUAGUGGGUUCCAUGUGCUUUCCAAUGUCAGGUGAGGCAUCAUGGUCACUGUUGUCCAUGGUCACUUCCCUUCUGAGAGUGAGGAGUUCCUGUGUAGUCCACAGUGCCCUUCUGGGGCAAUCCAGGUCAUGUCAGUGGCCAGAUUCACCCAUGGCUAAGGCUUAGCCAUUGCCUUGUUCCCCAUGAUAGGCCCAGAAUGUAGUCAAAAGUAGUACAGACAAAGAAUCAAACAGAUCAGGGAACAGAUCCUGGCUCCAUCAGUGCCAUCACUGUGACUCUUGGAUAAAUUACUUAACCUCCUGAGCUACUCUCCUCAGUAGCAGUAGUGGCAGCAGCAACAAUCAACAUAAAUGUUUCCUAUGUACCAUUUUAGACACAUCAUUGAUGGUCUUCAAAAACUUCCUGCCAGAUAAAUACUGUUAAUAAUAAAUGCUAAAAAGGAGAUGAUACUAUCCCCCUGGCAGAAUUAUGUUGAGAAUCCAAGGAGUAGUGUGAACCUGGCACUAGGCAUGGAGCUAGAACAGUCAUCUACUGCAGGUCUCUGUGACUCUUUAGUAAGUUUCCAUAGGACAAUGUGCACAUUUCUCAGAUAACCAAUAAAAGAAGACAUUGUGGGCUAGGCCAGUGUUUCUGGAAGCCAGGUCUGCUGCCCAGGAUGGGAUUAUCCCCAACAUAUGGUUCAGGUUCUUCACAUUUCCUUCUUUUGCAUCGUCUAACAACUAAUCUUUUUUUGUGUCUUAAAAUCAAACUCUGCAAAGAGAAGAAUCUAAUUGGUCCAAUUUGUUCAUCACAGCCUGCUUACAAGCUUGAGUCAGAUGUUUUCUCCUGAUAAACCACCUGCCCCAAGAAUGACAUCGUCAUGAGGUGGGGACCACGGUAACCUGAGCAGAAAGAACCACCUUGGAUUGUACUCUCAGCAGGGAGCUUUGAGUUGAAACAAAUGGUGUUGCUGCUUCUUGAAAGUCCUUUGUUUUCCAUUUGCUUGGUAGAUCUUCCUGCAUCCCUUUAUUUUGAGCCUAUGUGUGUCUCUGCAUGUGAGACGG